UUUUUUUUUUUUUUUUUUUUUGAGACAGAGUCUUGCUCUGUUGCCCAGGCUGGAGUGCAAUGGCACAGUCUAGGCUCACUGCAACCUCUGCCUCCCAGGUUCAAGUGAUUCUCCUGCCUCAAACUCCCGAGUAACUGAGACUACAGGCUUAUGCCACCAUACCCGCUAAUUUUUGUAUUUUUAGUAGAGACAGGAUUUCACCAUGUUGGCCAGGCUGGUCUCAAACCCCUGACCUCGUGAUCCAGCCACCCUGGCAUUACAGGCGUGAGCCACCGCACCUGACCACAUCUUUUUUUCCUCACAUUUUUGGUGGUGGGGUGGAUGGGGCCAAGUUGCUUCAGGGACUUGGGAGGCAGAGUCCCGGGUAGGUACUUGAAGACCAUCCAUGAAACAGCUGGACCAAAUCUACUGUCAUAUAUAUUUGCCCUGAAGUGUAAAGAGGUGAGCAAAAGCAUUAAGUACAUGUUUAAUAUUUCAACAGCUAAUAUUUUCAUUUAGGUCUUAUUUACGCUAUAAUAGAACUGUGAAUUCUUAGAAUCUUUUUAUAUGCAAAUGUGACAAAACACUAGGGCUCUUGUACAAUCAGGCUGUUCCAUAUGCAUGUUGUAUAGCGUGGCCGUAUAGAAUGGGGGGAAAGUACUGAAUUGGAAAUCAGGAAAUAUGAGUUCUGGUCCUGGAUGUGUGAUUAACCUCUUUGAGACUCAAUUUCCAUAUCUUAAAAAUAAUGUUAGAUUAAUGAUCUCUUAGGUGCUUCUCAGCUCUGAAAUGCAAUGACAUGGAGCAUAAUUUGACUAUUUAAAAUUAGUGUAGGCAUCAAUAAUUAUUGCAGCUUUGCUUUUAUGGCAUACUGUUUUAAUCAUGAACAUAUCAUUUAUUUGAUGUCAAUUUUUUUAAGGAAUACAAUCUCCAACUAAAACUUUUUUUGAGAAAAAUAUCCAGACAAACCACACGAAAUUGCUUAUAUUUGACCAUUUUUGACUGAAUGAGUGGUAAUUUUAUGUGGCUCAACCUAAUAGUAUCUUUUAAAAAAGACCUACUUUAAGGCAAGAUUUCCAGACAUACGGUGAUGUUUUAAAAAUUAUGUGAAAAUCUGCAAUGCACACAGAGAAAGAGGAUGUGUUAUAAAAUCUAUUCACUGUAAUUUUCCACACAUUUUAUAUCUUAAAAAUGAAUAAAGUUUUUCCUCCUCAUAUUCUCUUCCUAUUAAAUAAAAUCUUACCACCAUUUACAAAGUUCUUCGUAGUUUAAAGCAGCUCUUACGUGCUGGUAUUUUAUAACGUCCUUAAGAAGUGGGUAACAGCAUCGCUCCAAUGUCACAAAGAGGAAACUGAGGCUGAAGAAGUUAAGUCAUCUGCUCAAGACAUCGGAAGGGGGUCUGGACUCCAGCCAAGAUAACAGCGUCCCAGACGUCUUGCUCUCUCCCCUUCUGCCAGAUGUGCAGCCCGUGAAUAUCAGCACAUUAGGAAAGAUACAAACAUCAUCUCCUGAUCACCGAACGCACUGAAAUGGAGGCUCCUAGUGAUGAAUGGGAUGAACACACACUGAGAUGAGAGCUGCCGCCUUCUUCUUUCUCUUCGUGUCACCCCAGAGCCGACAGAGCUGGUGGCUUGUGCUCUCCAAGGCCCGCCCCUUCCUGGGAGUUCUUGGCUCCCCAUAGAGGAGGUGAUGUUCCAGGAGUCACCGAAACUUCUGCUUCAGGAGAUCUGUCCAGUGGCCACGGAGCCAGGUCUCGGGUGCCACCAAACGGCUUCCUGGAAAUGUUCCAAUAACAUGGAUUCUUGCCAAGGGGACGGUAAAUUUCUAUCAGAAAAAAUGUGAUACUUUGGCAAAAACCAGACCUUGAGAACACAUUGAUCAGCUGAUUUCCCACAAAAGAGAGUGGUAAAGGGAAACACAGCACUGCCGAUAUUUACAAUUGCUAAAAUGGUGAGAUGACAAUUCACAAAUCAAUCCAUGUAAUUAAAGCCAACGUGCUGGCCAGGGUGACCGUCAAGUGAGCAUCUGAGCCAGAGCCCCAUUGUUUACCUGACUGGAACCUGACAUGGAAACUAGGGCAAGGGGCUGCGGGGAUGACUCAGAAGAACCAGGUCUCUUUAGGAAGCACCUCAACCAACAAAUUGAC
ensembl:lncRNA